GGCUUUUGUUAUCCCCUGAGUAUGAGGUUUCUCCUCUUGCAACGUGUUUUUUCAUUUGCUCCAUGUUCUCCUCUCCUUCAGCACCAGUUACAGAGCACACUCUGGACUUCGGCCAACAGGACUCCUGAGCCGAAGUGCAGAUGGCGACAUUUAAGGAAGGACCUUCUGUCCCGGCUUCUUCCCAGCAUGAAAAUAUUCCAACCUUCACUCUUAUUCUUCCACAAAGAGAAUGCUUCUUCAGGGUCUGGCUUAUUCCUGGUUCAGUGACCCUAUAGAAAAUGUCAUCCUUGAUGAGUUUCCUCAGCCCCUAACCUUGGCCUGGAGGUUGCCAAGAUUGUUUAUAGUGCCUUAUGGUCAUUUUUUCCCAGUUUCCUUUUUAUUCAACCCUUACUCCUUCCCAUGGAUCUGAAUUCAACUUCUACUCACAUUACUUUAUAGAAGUUUUCUCAAAUAAACAUGGAGUGACAGUCAUUUCUUUCCUACUGCUUCAAGAAGCAAAAGAAGUGGAAAUAAAAGAGAAAAGAACGAUUACAUUGUAAUACAAUAAUUGCUUUCACUUCUGUUCCUGAAUUUCAGUCAUAUGUGUAUCUGGAAAUUUCUUUGCUUCCUUGCCUGCUUUUUCUUGAGUUUUCUAUGUCCUAUAAGGAAUGUUUCACUGAGCUAGGAGAAAGCCCUUCAAUGCCCCCAAUUCAUGGUGGUCUUCUACACCUUUGCAUCAUGAAAGACAAGUAGACAGUUCCCUUUUCACCAUGGGCUACAGAUGGGAGACAAAAACAUGAGAAACAAUGAUGUCUGGAACUAUUAGGUUGUCAGUAUUUUUAAUUAAUUUCUUCAUGAAGGCCUAUACAUUCUUGCUGGGCAGCAUCAAUUCUUGUUUUGAAUCUCUGUGUGUGUGUGUGUGUGUGUGUGUGUGUGUGUACCUAUUGCGUAUGAAAUGCCAGCCACAAAGCCAAUUACAGUUUUAAAAAAGCAAGGAAGUAUUGCUUAUUUGUAUGACUUUUAGAAUCGAGCAUGCUGAUACUUAAUUUUAUGAGAAAAACUAUAUCUUCCAAGAAUUUUUAUUUUGACAAACAUAAUGAGAGUGAUCAACUGUAUAAUAUGCUAAAAUAUAUUGCACACAGAUUUUAGUAAACACGUUUUUGGUAUUGAUUCAUUCUUGGUUAAAUGUACCAGUGAAACAGAGUCUAGAAUUAGAUGCCAAAACAUUUUAGGUUUACUUUAAGAUAA